UGUUUACUCCCUUCGUUCCAAAAUACUUGACUUCCAUUUUUCCAAAAAUGGAUGUACAUAUAUACUAAAACAUGUCUAGAUACAUCUAUAUUUUGACAAAUAGAAGGCAUGUAUUGUGGAACGGAGGGAGUAGAAU
rnacentral:pre_miRNA from 1 species